rnacentral:rRNA from 1 species
UACGGAGGUGGCAAGCGUUGUUCGGAAUUACUGGGCGUAAAGGGCGCGUAGGCGGCUUGACAAGUCAGAUGUGAAAGCCCCGGGCUCAACUCGGGAAUUGCAUCUGAAACUGUUGGGCUUGAGUUCUGGAGGGGGUAGUGGAAUUCCCAGUGUAGCGGUGAAAUGCGUAGAUAUUGGGAGGAACACCUGCGGCGAAGGCGGCUACCUGGACAGAAACUGACGCUGAGGCGCGAAAGCUAGGGGAG